UCUGGACUCCCUGAGCUGUUGGCAGACAGGACCACAGAGGGGGACAGGACGCUCUGAGAUGUUGGAAGCGGCAGUCAGCGACCUGAAGGCGCCGAAGGUGAAGGGAACCUAGAAAGCAUCCUGUCCACGAACUCAAGUGUGCAUUUUGCGAGACAGAGAGCUCGUAGGACUCCAUACAGAUGAUGGUGCAGCGACCACGGGCCAAUAUAGACACCGGGCUCAGCAACCAACCCACCACACUGUCUCCAUGUGUGCAUGAGGACAUUUAACUUGGAAAGGUGCCCCUAUUGCCGCUAAGGCCCUCUGUAUGGUUUGGUUAGGAUAGAUGGUUCAACUUUCAGUCCGAUUUUAAGAUGGAAAAAACCCGGGUUCAAUAAUUGGAUGUCUAACAAAUCUCUUUUAGGAAAAUUUAUCUUCUCCCACUGUUUUAUUUACAAAGAGCAAAACGUUUAGUUAAAAAAGUCAAAUCCGUCACCUACCUUGCAAAACUAACAUUAUAAUUGUCUGACUGUCAAUCUUUGAGAUGUCCGUCUAGCUCUCUCUAACUUUUGUUACUUAAAAUUGAUAUAAAAAAAGGGACCUGAAAGAAUUAGCACUCUGUCAGUGGAUUUGAUACUGGAGUUCAGAUUUGAUCAAAUGCUGUCAAACUCCCCAACAAACCCCAGCUCUCAGUGGUGCGUGGGACCUCAGGAGACAGGAGCCCGCAGGUCAUCCAGGUAUAUUUUCUUCGAAAAGAAACACCUAUACUUACUGGCGUUA